UGGUUGUUACUACAAAAGUCUCUCUCUGUAUAUAGAUACGGAUUGACACAGAGAUGAUAUACAAGGUAAAGAUACAGAUAGAAAGACAAAUGUCAAUUAUCCUUUGGUCCCGCUUCUCUGGAGAAUCCUGACUACAGAGGCCCACAGGGGCUGAUGGUUGUGAUCUGGGAUGCUGCUGCUACUGGCCAAGUCCAACACAGAAGACCUGUGGGCAUCUUCUGAAGGUCAUAGGACUUGACUCUGAUGAAAGGAAUCAGAUGUUGCAGAAGCAAGAACAUAACUUUUCAAAUUUCCUGCUAAGUUGAUGGGAAAUACCAAUACU